rnacentral:rRNA from 1 species
CCUACGGGCGGCAGCAGUGAGGAAUAUUGGUCAAUGGGCGCGAGCCUGAACCAGCCAAGUAGCGUGAAGGAUGACUGCCCUACGGGUUGUAAACUUCUUUUAUAAAGGAAUAAAGUGAGGCACGUGUGCCUUUUUGUAUGUACUUUAUGAAUAAGGAUCGGCUAACUCCGUGCCAGCAGCCGCGGUAAUACGGAGGAUCCGAGCGUUAUCCGGAUUUAUUGGGUUUAAAGGGAGAGUAGGUGGUUUGUUAAGUCAGUUGUGAAAGUUUGCGGCUCAACCGUAAAAUUGCAAUUGAUACUGGCAGUCUAGAGUACAGUUGAGGUAGGCAGAAUUCGUGGUGUAGCGGUGAAAUGCUUAGAUAUCACGAAGAACUCCGAUUGCGAAGGCAGCUUACUAAACUGCAACUGACAUUGAGGCUCGAAAGUGUGGGUAUCAAACAGGAUUAGAUACCCGAGUAGUC